UUUCCGUAGGUGAACCUGCGGAAGGAUCAUUAACGAGUUAGGGUCUUCUAGGCCCGACCUCCCAACCCUUUGUUUACUGAACCAUUGUUGCCUCGGUGGGUCCGUCUUACGACCGCCGGGGGAUCGCCGCGAGGCGCCCCCUGGCCAGCGCCCACCGAUAGCCCAACCUUUAAAACCCUUUGUGAAUCGUGUCUUAUGUCUAAGUUUAUGAUUAAACAAUCAAAACAAAACUUUCAACAACGGAUCUCUUGGUUCUG
rnacentral:misc_RNA from 1 species